AACAAAAACAAGAAAAAGGAAAAAUAGAGAACAACUAGCAGGGAGAUGUGUUCGAGAGAGAGAGAAGACGAAGAGAUAGAGGGAAGACAGACGGAGAGAAGAGCAGUCCUUUGGAGCAACAACCAUUGCUUCGCUCGUGACAGCCAUUGCGUCGCUCGAGCAGUCCUUCGUAGUUACCUCCUUCGCAGCCUGGUUCAUUUUCGCUUCUCCCUCCGGUCGACGAAGACCCGCGAACGAAGCAAAUGGAGUCGUCUCACCUCUCCCUCUGACCGGAGCUCUCGCACCUCUCCCUCCGACCGUCCAAUUUCAGCUUGUGUUUGAGGAUCUACUUGAGAGAGCUAGAGAAAAGGAGGAGAAAGAAGCUAAAAAGCGUCAACGUUUUGCCAAAGAUUUCACUGAUCUUUUGUCCACCAUCAAGGAAAUCACUGCAUCUUCUAUUUGGGAGGAAAGCAAACAACUCUUUGAGAAAAGCUCAGAGUACAGAUCAAUUGGAGAAGAUAGUUUUGCCAAGGAGGUCUUUGAGGAACACCUUGUGCACUUGCUGGAAAAGGCAAAAGAAAAGGAACGCAAGCGAGAGGAGGAAAAGGAAAUAAAGACUAUAAAAUAAAUGCUUACCAUCUGAUGUUGACCCAAAAGAACAGAAGAAGAAGAAACUGGAGAAACAUGUUCCCAAAUCAACAUCUCAAUUAUCAGUACCCAAAUCAUACCCUAUUUGGUGCCAUUUACAGAUUUUUUGUUUUGUUUUUGGUUGGGUUUUUGGAAAUAAGAACAAUGAAAAGUUCGGAAACUCCCAUCAUGUUCAUACUAUUUUCAUUUUUGUGCAUAAACAGUUUCUGAAAAUUCAGAAACAGUUAAAAAGUGUUUCCUACAAAAGGGGUGUUCUCAGAAAACUUCCCUGCAUACAUUUUUUGGAAACAUUUUGAAAAUGAUAUCAACAUAUCCUUUUUAUUUACUUUUCCUAAGAAGUUGUUUAGAAUGUGCAAUUGUUGGAAUGGUUGAGAGAGCUUUCAUGCUCUGAGACGCUCGGAAAUCUCAUUUUUGAAUGGCCUCUUAUGAAUAUUUUAGACACGUCGGUUUCAAUGUGUGUUUGCCUGCCUUUUUUGGUUUGUAUCUGCUAGCAUGGAAUCCAUGGUUUACUAGUUUAAACUUUAUGUCCGAUGUGCCCAUUGUAGUAAGAUUUGUCUUAUGCUGAAAAAUCUAAUAUGCCUCGAAUCUUUUUUCAUAAAGUGAAAGUAGUUGUAUCACUGGAUCUUCAUGUAUGAACACAAGAAUGAGCAAAUAAACAAAGGGCCGUUUGUUUUUGCUGAAUUAUUAUUAUUGUUAUUUUUUGUCACAAGAAUUUAUCUUAUUAUGUCUUGCAAACUUAGUUUUAUAUCAAAUAAGCAGACUGUCUACAUCAAUGCAAAUAGCACACACUGCCUUAAGUACAUACAUCGCUUCCUUUUUAUUUAUGAGAUUUGGUUAUAGUGAAUAUAUUAUUCUUGUCUAAAAAAUAGCAAUAAACUUUUACCUUUUGUUUUUGAGAAAAUUUAAAUAAUUUGAACAAAUUUGAUUUAUAUCAGGGUUCUUAAAUUUUGCUACCUUAGACCAAGCAGCUUUUAUUUGAUUAAAAUAACAAUUUUUUUUUUCUUUUGUUUUCUUAAUUAAAGAAUAGUUUUUCCGCGAUUAUUAUGAUUACAACAUGGCACCCAUAUGUAGUUUCCUGUAUAUAAUCUAUGAGUUGAUUGUUCUAAUUUGACUUAUUCAGUAGCUGUUGCUCUGCAAAUCCUUUCAACAUUUAGGUAGAUAAUGCUUUCUUUUGUUCAUUCAAACUGUGUUAGGUUUCUACUAUUCACUGCUUUGUAGUAUUAUAAUCAUACCAAGGCCCUUAUGUCUUGUAUCUUCUACGAUAUAAAUCCUUGAGAAUAUUUUGAAUUGUGUUAUUCAAUGGCAGUUGCCUUGUAGUACCUCUUGCCAAUUAGUGAUGAUGACUUUGAUUCCUGUACAACAAAUUAAGUAGAAGUUUAUCAUUUCCCUUUUGUAAAAUCCACAUCAUAAGCUUUUGAGUGCUUUUUCUUACUUUAAAGUUGACUGUUUGAAAUUGAUGUAAGGUGCAAUCCAAACAGUCUAUAGGGAUAGAUUGUGUGAAAGGACUACUCUCUUUGAAAUUUUUACUUUGAAAUUUUUAUUUUUUCUCCUCUAGGUUGCAUAUUAACAUAUUUAGUGAAUGGUUACCUUAACCUUUUGUUGUUAUUGUUGUUUUUUUUUUUUUUUUUU